rnacentral:sRNA from 2 species
GUCAGCACCCCGCACUGAAGUGACGGGGCUUCGUGCCUCUAACUUCAGUUAGUUGACCAGCCUAAGUCUUAACUGACUACGUUUUUUGAGUCAUGACACCCUGUUGGAUGCGAAGCUAGUCCCUGGCUCUGUC